AGCCGUGGUUGAGCAGAAUCUUCAGCCAAAGAUUUCGCUAGCUUCGAGGUCACUACCUCAAGAAAGUAUUGACUCGCUGGACUGUGCUAGUCCAACACCCAGCUUAAGUAGUAACUGUAGCAGUCAAGACAAAUCUUCCGAAAGCAUCAAGAAGAGGCCACUUCCCCCAGCACCUUCAGUAGAGUUAGAGGAGAAUGAGUACGACGUUCUUGCAAACUCACAGCCAGAUGAAGAUGGAGAGCAAGGACAAGAGCUAGAGCAAUCCGGUACCUUAAAAAGAGUUGAUACUG